GACGAACGCUGGCGGCGUGCUUAACACAUGCAAGUCGAACGGAAAGACCCUGCUUUUGUGGGGUGCUCGAGUGGCGAACGGGUGAGUAACACGUGAGUAACCUGCCCUUGACUUUCGGAUAACUUUAGGGAACUGGGGCUAAUACCUGAUAGGAUCUCUUGCUGCAUGUUGUGGUUUGGAAAGUUUCGGCGUUUGGGGAUGGACUCGCGGCUUAUCAGCUUGUUGGUGGGGUAGUGGCUUACCAAGCCUUUGACGGGUAGCCGGCAUGAGAGGGUGACCGGCCACAUUGGGACUGAGAUACGGCCCAGACUCCUACGGGAGGCAGCAGUGGGGAAUAUUGCACAAUGGGGGGAAGCCUGAUGCAGCAACGCCGCGUGCGGGAUGACGGCCUUCGGGUUGUAAACCGCUUUCGAAUGUGACGAAGCGUGAGUGACGGUAAUGGGUAAAGAAGCACCGGCUAACUACGUG
rnacentral:rRNA from 1 species